rnacentral:rRNA from 1 species
UACGGAGGGUGCAAGCGUUAUCCGGAAUCACUGGGUUUAAAGGGUGCGUAGGCGGCUAUGUAAGUCUGUUGUGAAAUACCUCGGCUUAACCGAAGGAAGUGCGAUUGAUACUGCGUAGCUUGAAUCAGGUUGAGGUAGGCGGAAUGUGACAUGUAGCGGUGAAAUGCUUAGAUAUGUCAUAGAACACCGAUUGCGAAGGCAGCUUACUGGGCUUUGAUUGACGCUGAGGCACGAAAGCGUGGGGAGCAAACAGG